CCUAGUUUAGGAGCGGCGGGCGAUAUGUGCAUAAGCUUAUUCUCUUUCAAUUUUUAUUUAAUUUCCUUAUUUUUUAAUUUUAGGUUCUCUUUGGUUUUAAUUUAUUUAUUCUCUAUUAACUUUCAUUUUAAGUGUCACGUGUUCUCUUUCCUAUUUCCCUUGCCUAGAUCUGUUUUUAUACUAAAAGUCUUUUAAAAUUUAUUUUAGUAAAACUUUUAAAGCGAUGGUAUAAGGAGUUAUAAAGAAAGUUAUUUUUAAAUGUGGGCUAUCUUUGAUGAAACAGGACCCCCUAAUGAAAAACUUACCGCCAUUUUAUCUAGUUUUUUCUUCUUUAGUUACUAUCCUUCUUCUAUAUAAAG
rnacentral:rRNA from 1 species